GAUGAAGAACGUAGCGAAAUGCGAUAAGUAAUGUGAAUUGCAGAAUUCAGUGAAUCAUCGAAUCUUUGAACGCACAUUGCGCCCGGUCGUAUUCUGCCGGGCAUGCCUGUUCGAGCGUCAUUUCAACCAUCAAGCCCCAGCGCUUGUGUUGGGGGCCUGCGGCUGCCGCAGCCCCCUAAAAGCAGUGGCGGGCUCGCUAUCACACCGAGUGCAGUAGUUCAUCUUCUCUCCGGUCUUGUGAGGCGGGUUCCGGCCGUGAAACACCCCACUACAUUCAAGGUUGACCUCGGAUCAGGUAGGAAUACCCGCUGAACUUAAGCAUAUCAAUAAGCGGAGGA
rnacentral:misc_RNA from 1 species